GUAACCUGGAAACUGGUGCUACGGGCUGGCGUGUUAGUUACCUUGAGUUCAACCCUCAGUCAGAUUCUCUAAUAUGGAGUCUGACCCUAAGAUCUGGCUAUUCACUACUGUGACAAAAUGCUGACCAAAACCAACUUGCAGGGAAAGGGAGUUAAUACAGUUUAUAGGCUACAAUCAGCUACCACCAGGAAAAGCUGUAACUGGAGCUCAAGGCAGUGCUCUGGAGACAGGAACUGAGGUGUCCAAGAAGGUAGGCUGCUUGCUGGCUUGCUCUCUGGAUUGCUCAGCUAGCUUCCUUAACAGCUCUGUUAAACCUAGGAAUGUCGGACACUCCUACAUCAAUUAGCAAUGAAGAAAAUACCAUACAAGCAUACCCGCAAGCCUGUCUGAUCAAGACAAUAUCUUUGGCUGAAGUGACUUCUUCCAAGUCUCUUCACAGAUUCACGAAAGUUUGGUUUGUUGUGUGAAACAUUUAGUUUAGCCAAGGCUCUUGCUACGGCUCCUGAUGUACCUAUCCACUGGAACUUGGUGAAGUCACCACUGAGGAAACAUCUGAAGUCAGUGGCCCAACUGCCAGAUCACAGUAAUGAUGCUCAAUGAGUGUGAACCAUGAGAAGUGUGACAACUCACUCAAGAUUGUAGGCAAUACUUCCUGAACCACCAACUGCUUAUCCCCCUGGCCAACAUUACCAGGGAAAACUUUGUCACUGUAGAAGGACUCAUGACCACAGUACACAUCAUCACUGCCACCAGAA
rnacentral:sRNA from 1 species